rnacentral:rRNA from 1 species
CCAGACUCCUACGGGAGGCAGCAGUGAGGAAUAUUGGUCAAUGGCCGAGAGGCUGAACCAGCCAAGUCGCGUGAGGGAUGACGGCCCUACGGGUUGUAAACCUCUUUUGUCGGGGAGCAAAGAGAGUCACGUGUGGCUCAUUGAGAGUACCCGAAGAAAAAGCAUCGGCUAACUCCGUGCCAGCAGCCGCGGUAAUACGGAGGAUGCGAGCGUUAUCCGGAUUUAUUGGGUUUAAAGGGGGCGUAGGCGGGCUGUUAAGUCAGCGGUCAAAUGUCGGGGCUCACCCCCGGCCUGCCGUUGAAACUGGCGGCCUCGAGUGGGCGAGAAGUAUGCGGAAUGCGUGGUGUAGCGGUGAAAUGCAUAGAUAUCACGCAGAACUCCGAUUGCGAAGGCAGCAUACCGGCGCCCGACUGACGCUGAGGCACGAAAGCGUGGGUAUCGAACAGGAUUAGAUACCCUAGUA